rnacentral:misc_RNA from 1 species
CCAAUGGUACUAAAGUAAUAAUUGUUAUAUGAUUGAAUAAUUAUCUCAUAGUAAAAAAAAAAUAAUUUAAAUUCUUAUUUUUCUCUUUUCAUCUUAUAAAAAUAAAAAAUCCACGAAAAAUGAUUCAAAAAGUUCUUCCAGUUAAUAAAUAUGAUAAUCUCUUUCUAUCUUUAUUAAUUAUGAUUAAAAUUUUUUAAAAAGC